AUUGAACGCUGGCGGCAGGCUUAACACAUGCAAGUCGAGCGGGGGAAGGUAGCUUGCUACCGGACCUAGCGGCGGACGGGUGAGUAAUGCUUAGGAAUCUGCCUAUUAGUGGGGGACAACAUCUCGAAAGGGAUGCUAAUACCGCAUACGUCCUACGGGAGAAAGAAGGGGAUCUGCGGACCUUGCGCUAAUAGACGAGCGUAAGUCGGAUUAGCUAGUUGGUGGGGUAAAGGCCUACCAAGGCGACGAUCUGUAGCGGGUCUGAGAGGAUGAUCCGCCACACUGGGACUGAGACACGGCCCAGACUCCUACGGGAGGCAGCAGUGGGGAAUAUUGGACAAUGGGGGGACCCCUGAUCCAGCCAUGCCGCGUGUGUGAAGAAGGCCUUAUGGUUGUAAAGCACUUUAAGCGAGGAGGAGGCUACUCUAGUUAAUACCUAGGGAUAGUGGACGUUACUCGCAGAAUAAGCACCGGCUAACUCUGUGCCAGCAGCCGCCGUAA
rnacentral:rRNA from 1 species